CAGUCGCCACGGGAACACGAAGGGUGCAAGCGUUACUCGGAAUUACUGGGCGUAAAGCGUGCGUAGGUGGUGGUUUAAGUCCGUUGUGAAAGCCCUGGGCUCAACCUGGGAGUUGCAGUGGAUACUGGGUCACUUGAGUGUGGUAGAGGAUGGUGGAAUUCCCGGUGUAGCGGUGAAAUGCGUAGAGGUCGGGAGGAACAUCAGUGGCGAAGGCGGCCAUCUGGGACAACACUGACGCUGAGGCACGAAAGCGUGGGGAGCAAACAGGAUUAGAUACCCGCGUAGUCCCUGUCUCCUUAUA
rnacentral:rRNA from 1 species